UGGGGAAUAUUGCACAAUGGGGGAAACCCUGAUGCAGCAACGCCGCGUGCGGGAUGACGGCCUUCGGGUUGUAAACCGCUUUCAGCCAUGACGAAGCUUUUGUGACGGUAGUGGCAGAAGAAGCACCGGCUAACUACGUGCCAGCAGCCGCGGUGAUACGUAGGGUGCGAGCGUUGUCCGGAAUUAUUGGGCGUAAAGAGCUUGUAGGCGGUUUGUCGCGUCGAAAGUGUAAACUCAGUGAUUAACGCUGAGCCUGCUUUCGAUACGGGCUGACUAGAGGAAGGUAGGGGAGAAUGGAAUUCCCGGUGGAGCGGUGGAAUGCGCAGAUAUCAGGAGGAACACCAGUGGCGAAGGCGGUUCUCUGGACCUUUCCUGACGCUGAGAAGCGAAAGCGUGGGUAGCAAACAGG
rnacentral:rRNA from 1 species